CCAACACCACGCAUCAUCGUCUUCGUCCCACAAACAACACCACCGACCCUCAUCACCAGGUCCAUCCCCCAUCAUCGGUGCCUCUCUUCUUCUUGUCUCUAUGUUGUUCUUGUGGUGUUCUUCUCUGGUAAGUAUCUUCAUGAGUUGAUGAACCCUUUUAUCGUCCAGAUUCAACCUCUAUGGCUUCUGCAACUACAAUCGUCGGGCCACCUACCUUCUCUCUGAUUUCUCUGAUUGACUGUUACAUCCAUGUUAACUUAUAAAAAGCUAUCAGCAGACUAGUUUUUGAUUAGAGAAGAAGCUCGGUGUAUGAUGGGAGGUGGAUUACUAGAUGAAAGAAAUAACUAUGGUUUAAGUACAUUACCUCAAUCAUAGGUGAAGUUCUUGACCAAACUUGUUGCUUAGAAACCUGGAAAAACAGUAUACGAAAUGAUUAUGGAUGUAAUACUAGGCAAAUAAGAAGAUUUUGGCAGUAGUUAUGAGGAAGAAAGUACAAGGGGGUAUAAAGUUGUAGUACAAGCAGCACCACAACAACAACAGGAACCUAUACAAGCCCAACUUGUACAAAAAGAUGCAUGAUCCUAUAUGUAUAUAUAGAUUUAUGUAAAUAGUUGUUUAGAGAUUUCUUCAAGAAUAUUGGGUUAUGUAAACAAUUGAUUAGGUUAUUAGUUAAUAAUUCCGUUUAACUUAUCUACAGUGUGUAGUGUUUGAAUAAUAACUAUUUUAUAAUAACACAUUCUUGAAAA